GAUGAACGCUGGCGGCGUGCUUAACACAUGCAAGUCGAACGGGAAACCUCUUAUUGAAGCUUCGGCAGAUUUAGCUGGCUUCUAGUGGCGGCCGGGUGAGUCUCGCCUGGGCAAUGUGCCUUAUACAGGGGGAUAACAACAAGAACUGGUUGCUAAUACCGCAUAAGCGCACAGGACGGCAUGGUCCGGUGUGUAAAACUCCGCUGGUAUAGGAUGGACCCGCGUUGGAUUAGCUAGUUGGCAGUGUAAUGGCCUACCAAUGCGACGUUCCAGAGCCGGCCUGGUAGGCGGAACCGCCGCGUUGGGACUGCGACACGGCCCAGACUCCGACGCGGGGCAGCGGUAUAGAGUAUUGCACACUGAAGGAAACCCUAAUGCAGCGGCGCCGCGGGAAGGGAGAAGUAUGUCGGUAUGUGAUCUUCUAUCAGCAGAGGAGAGAGUGACGGUACCGGGCUAAGAAGCCCCGGCUAACUACGUG
rnacentral:rRNA from 1 species